GGGCCCAUAGCUCAAUCGGUUAGAGCAACUGACUCAUAAUCAGUAGGUCCUCGGUUCGAUUCCGAGUGGGCCCACAA
rnacentral:tRNA from 1 species